UAUAAAUUAAUAAAUUCUUACGGUCCCCAGUUGGGACCAGUGUAAAAAAUGACAUAAAUCGAUAAAUUAAUAAGAUAAUAUUUUUUUUGAAAGUCCUAUGUAAAUCUAUGGUCCCAUCAAUAUCAUAAAUUAAUAAUUA
rnacentral:sRNA from 1 species